GCUGAAUCAUGGGGGCAGUUUCCCCCGUACUGUCCUCGUGAUAGCGAAUAAGUCUCAGGAGAUCUGAUGGUUUUAUAAACGAGAGUUCCCCUGCAGAAGCUCUCUGGUCUGCCACAUGUAAGACAUGACUUUGUUCUUCCUUCAUCUUCCACCAUGAUCGUGAGGCCUCUCCAGCCAUGUGGAACUGUGAGUCUGUUAAACCUCCUUUUCUUUAUAAAUUACCCAGUCUCAGGUAAGUCUUUAUUAGCAGUGUGAGAACAGACUAAUACAAUAUUCAUCCUAUUGUUUCUUUUUCUCUGGAGAACCCUAUUACACCAGAUUUUUGUUUGUUGUUGUUGUUAGAAGUUAGGAAUACAGCAAUGGACAAGAUGGCCAAGUCCCAAGCACUGCCGGAGUAAUCAUUUGCUUUGAGGAAAUCCAGCUGGCCACAUGGUGAGGCUUGGAGGCCACUGGCCAACAGCCACUUAGCGAUCUUGGAAUCAGAUGCUCCAGCCCAGUCAACCCUUCAGAUGGCUGCAGCCCUGACCGAUGUAUGAACUACAACCUUGUGGGAGACCGAGAACCAGAACUAAGAUGUUCCUGGAGGCCUGACCCUCAAAAAAUUUUGUGAGAUAAUAACUAUUUGUUACUUUUAGUGUCUAAGCUUUUGUUAUAGAGCAAUAGAUAACCAGUACAGCCAGUAAUUAAAUAUGGGUCCUUUGGCAAAUAAAUGAACCUCCGAAGACCUCCAUUCUUUCAUUUACUAUGUGAGAGCCUUGGUUUUGUUCAGGUAUGGGACACUUAGCAUUGAAUUUUUUAAUUUGUGUGGGUACACAGUAG
rnacentral:lncRNA from 1 species